rnacentral:rRNA from 1 species
GCUCCUUUGACGUUAGCGGCGGACGGGUGAGUAACACGUAGGUAACCUACCUAUAAGACUGGGAUAACUUCGGGAAACCGGAGCUAAUACCGGAUAAUAUUUCGAACCGCAUGGUUCGAUAGUGAAAGAUGGCUUUGCUAUCACUUAUAGAUGGACCUGCGCCGUAUUAGCUAGUUGGUAAGGUAACGGCUUACCAAGGCAACGAUACGUAGCCGACCUGAGAGGGUGAUCGGCCACACUGGAACUGAGACACGGUCCAGACUCCUACGGGAGGCAGCAGUAGGGAAUCUUCCGCAAUGGGCGAAAGCCUGACGGAGCAACGCCGCGUGAGUGAUGAAGGUCUUCGGAUCGUAAAACUCUGUUAUUAGGGAAGAACAAACGUGUAAGUAACUGUGCACGUCUUGACGGCACCUAAUCAGAAAGCCACGGCUAACUACGUGCCAGCAGCCGCGGUAAUACGUAGGUGGCAAGCGUUAUCCGGAAUUAUUGGGCGUAAAGCGCGCGUAGGCGGUUUUUUAAGUCUGAUGUGAAAGCCCACGGCUCAACCGUGGAGGGUCAUUGGAAACUGGAAAACUUGAGUGCAGAAGAGGAAAGUGGAAUUCCAUGUGUAGCGGUGAAAUGCGCAGAGAUAUGGAGGAACACCAGUGGCGAAGGCG